UACGUAGGGAGCAAGCGUUGUCCGGAUUCACUGGGCGUAAAGGGUGCGCAGGCGGCUUCGUAAGUCAGAGGUGAAAUCUCACGGCUUAACCGUGAAACUGCCUUUGAUACUGCAGAGCUUGAGUUUGGGAGAGGUUGAUGGAAUUCCAGGUGUAGCGGUGAAAUGCGUAGAUAUCUGGAAGAACACCAGUGGCGAAGGCGGUCAACUGGCCCAUAACUGACGCUCAGGCACGAAAGCGUGGGUAGCGAACAGG
rnacentral:rRNA from 1 species